CAAUAGCGUAUAUUUAAGUUGUUGCAGUUAAAAAGCUCGUAGUUGGAUUUCGGUUGAGAACGGCCGGUCCGCCGUUUGGUGUGCACUGGCUGGUUUCAACUUCCUGUAGAGGACGUGCUCUGGCUUCACGGCUGGACGCGGAGUCUACGUGGUUACUUUGAAAAAAUUAGAGUGUUCAAAGCGGGCUUGCGCUUGAAUAUUUCAGCAUGGAAUAACACUAUAGGACUCCUGUCCUAUUUCGUUGGUCUCGGGACGGGAGUAAUGAUUAAGAGGAACAGUUGGGGGCAUUCGUAUUUCAUUGUCAGAGGUGAAAUUCUUGGAUUUAUGAAAGACGAACUUCUGCGAAAGCAUUUGCCAAGGAUGUUUUCAUUAA
rnacentral:rRNA from 1 species